GAUGAACGCUGGCGGUAUGCUUAACACAUGCAAGUCGAACGGUCACUUCGGUGAUAGUGGCGGACGGGUGAGUAACGCGUGAGAAUCUGUCUUCAGGUCGGGGACAACAGUUAGAAAUGACUGCUAAUACCGGAUGUGCCUUUGGGUGAAAGAUUUAUUGCCUGAAAAAGAGCUCGCGUCAGAUUAGCUAGUAGGUGGUGUAAGAGACUACCUAGGCUCCGAUCUGUAGCUGGUCUGAGAGGACGAUCAGCCACACUGGAACUGAGACACGGUCCAGACUCCUACGGGAGGCAGCAGUGGGGAAUUUUCCGCAAUGGGCGAAAGCCUGACGGAGCAAUACCGCGUGAGGGACGAAGGCUUUUGGGUCGUAAACCUCUUUUCUCAAGGAAGAUGAUGACGGUACUUGAGGAAUAAGCAUCAGCUAACUCUGUG
rnacentral:rRNA from 1 species